GAUUCUUCCCAAUUCUACCGCCACCAUUCUGGUUCAAGCUACCUGGAGUCUCAAGAGGGGAAGUGAAAUAGGAUCAGAAAGAAUGUUUGAAGAAAUAAUGGUUGAAAAACUCCGAAAUUUGAUGAAAGAGGUGAAUCUACAUAUCCAAGAAGCUCAAUGAACUCUAAAGAGACCCACACUGAGACAUGUUAUAGUCCAACUGUCAAAAGCCAAAGACAAUGAAAACAACAAGAGAGAAACAACUCAUCACAUACAAGAGAGCCUUAAUAAAAUUACUAGCUGAUUUCUUAUAAAAAACCAUGGAGACCAGAAAAUAAGAAUGUCGAUCAAGAAUUCUAUAUCUGACAAAACUAUUCCUAAAGAAAUUCUCAGAUAAACAAAAGCUACAGAAUUUACUAGUAGACCUGCCCUACAAGAAAUGCUAAAGAGAAUCUCUCAGAUUGAAAUUAAAGGACAUCAGACAGUAACUUGAAGCCAUAUGAAAAAAUAAAGAGCAAUUGUGAAAAAU
rnacentral:antisense_RNA from 1 species